UACAGAGGGUGCAAGCGUUGUUCGGAAUUAUUGGGCGUAAAGCGCGUGUAGGCGGCUUUGCAAGUCGGGUGUGAAAGCCCUCAGCUCAACUGAGGAAGUGCGCCCGAAACUGCAGAGCUUGAGUGCCGGAGAGGGUGGCGGAAUUCCCCAAGUAGAGGUGAAAUUCGUAGAUAUGGGGAGGAACACCGGUGGCGAAGGCGGCCACCUGGACGGUAAACUGGACGCUGAGACGCGAAAAGCGUGGGGAGCAAACAGG
rnacentral:rRNA from 1 species